UACGAAGGGGGCUAGCGUUGCUCGGAAUCACUGGGCGUAAAGGGUGCGUAGGCGGGUUUUUAAGUCAGAGGUGAAAUCCUGGAGCUCAACUCCAGAACUGCCUUUGAUACUGGGAAUCUUGAGUAUGGAAGAGGUGAGUGGAACUGCGAGUGUAGAGGUGAAAUUCGUAGAUAUUCGCAAGAACACCAGUGGCGGAAGGCGGCUCACUGGUCCGAUACUGACGCUGAGGCACGAAAGCGUGGGGAUCAAACCAGG
rnacentral:rRNA from 1 species